rnacentral:rRNA from 1 species
CCCUUAGAUGUUCUGGGCCGCACGCGCGCUACACUGACGAAUGCAACGAGCUUAUAACCUUGGCCGAAAGGUCUGGGUAAUCUCCAAAUUUCGUCGUGAUGGGGAUAGAUUAUUGCAAUUAUUAAUCUUCAACGAGGAAUGCCUAGUAAGCGCAAGUCAUCAGCUUGCGUUGAUUACGUCCCUGCCCUUUGUACACACCGCCCGUCGCUCCUACCGAUUGAAUGGUCCGGUGACGCGUUCGGACCGUGGCCUUUGGACGGUUCGCCGUCUGUUGGCUGCGGGAAGUUCGUUAAACCUUAUCAUUUAGAGGAAGGAGAAGUCGUAACA